rnacentral:rRNA from 1 species
AACGAACGCUGGCGGCAUGCCUAACACAUGCAAGUCGAACGAAGGCUUCGGCCUUAGUGGCGCACGGGUGCGUAACGCGUGGGAAUCUGCCCCUUGCUUCGGAAUAACAGUUAGAAAUGACUGCUAAUACCGGAUGAUGUCGCAAGACCAAAGAUUUAUCGGCAAAGGAUGAGCCCGCGUAGGAUUAGCUAGUUGGUGGGGUAAAGGCCUACCAAGGCGACGAUCCUUAGCUGGUCUGAGAGGAUGAUCAGCCACACUGGGACUGAGACACGGCCCAGACCCCCAGGGGGGGCAGCAGUGGGGAAUAUUGGACAAUGGGCGAAAGCCGGAUCCAGCAAUGCCGGGUGGGUGAUGAAGGCUUUAGGGUUGUAAAGCUCUUUUACCCGGGAUGAUAAGGACAGGACCGGGAGAAAAAGCCCCGGCGAACUCCGG